rnacentral:rRNA from 1 species
UACAGAGGGUGCAAGCGUUGUUCGGAAUUAUUGGGCGUAAAGCGCGUGUAGGCGGUUUUGCAAGUCGGGUGUGAAAGCCCUCAGCUCAACUGAGGAAGUGCGCCCGAAACUGCAGAGCUUGAGUACCGGAGAGGAUGGUGGAAUUCCCCAAGUAGAGGUGAAAUUCGUAGAUAUGGGGAGGAACACCGGUGGCGAAGGCGACCAUCUGGACGGAUACUGACGCUGAGACGCGAAAGCGUGGGUAGCAAACAGG